rnacentral:rRNA from 1 species
GACGAACGCUGGCGGCGUGCUUAACACAUGCAAGUCGAACGGAAAGGCCCUGCUUUUGUGGGGUGCUCGAGUGGCGAACGGGUGAGUAACACGUGAGUAACCUGCCCUUGACUUUGGGAUAACUUCAGGAAACUGGGGCUAAUACCGGAUAGGAGCUCCUGCUGCAUGGUGGGGGUUGGAAAGUUUCGGCGGUUGGGGAUGGACUCGCGGCUUAUCAGCUUGUUGGUGGGGUAGUGGCUUACCAAGGCUUUGACGGGUAGCCGGCCUGAGAGGGUGACCGGCAACAUUGGGACUGAGAUACGGCCCAGACUCCUACGGGAGGCAGAAGUGGGGAAUAUUGCAAAAUGGGCGGAAGCCUGAUGCAGAAACGCCGCGUGCGGGAUGACGGCCUUCGGGUUGUAAACCGCUUUCGCCUGUGACGAAGCGUGAGUGACGGUAAUGGGUAAAGAAGCACCGGCUAACUACGU